GGAUUUUUCCUUUAUUUGCAUGAAGUCCCAUCUUUACAGUAAUCAAUCAUUUCUUGAUUUCUCAAGCACAAGAAUUAUUUAAGAGCAUUGUACUGCAUGAAAGUACCUGGGUUGGUUAUGAUUGCUAUGCCGUACUCUUGCAAUGUGGCUUACUUUGUCUAGUUAAUUGAUCUCUAUUUCACGUGUGACAGCAGUCUAAGCUGGAUACUUUCAUGCAUUGUAGUGCAUGAAAGUACCUGGCAUGAUGAUCGUGACAGCGGUCUAAGUUGGAUAGUUGUGAGCAUCAUUUCCUGAUAUUGCCAGUUGAUAAGCCAAUUUGAGUGUAUACCCUCUAACGCCUUCCCAAUAGAUGGAUUACGUGUAUCUUGGGAAUGCAGUUUUUCGCAUUGAUUCUACUACCCAUCUACUUGGGUUGUUUUCAUGUCGUUUUGGAGCUUCCAAAUGCAGCUUCGUUAUUUGAUUUUGAAGGAAUUUGUUUGUUAGUUUCUUAUGUGUCACACAUUAGUCCGAGAAAUCAGAAUAAGCUGCCAAGUUCCCUGGGAGGAGGACUACUUGGGCCCUCUAGAUGUUGAAAUAAUUAGGUUUUUAUGCGGUUGGAAAUUUGUAUGUUACAUUGUUCUUGGUUAACUGAUUCUGAAAAUGCAUUCAAAUGCAUUUCCUCCUUACCUUUUUCCUCUGUAUAGAAUCGCUAAUUUAACGCUAUUUUCAGUGGUAGAUAUCAGUAGGACAGUUAACACUUCCAGUGAGUCUUGAUGAGAAGGAAGUACCAUUGCAAUAUUCCUGUGGUACAACC